AGAGUUUGAUCCUGGCUCAGGAUGAACGCUGGCGGCGUGCCUAAUACAUGCAAGUCGAGCGAACGGACGAGAAGCUUGCUUCUCUGAUGUUAGCGGCGGACGGGUGAGUAACACGUGGAUAACCUACCUAUAAGACUGGGAUGACUUCGGGAAACCGUAGCUAAUACCGGAUAAUAUUUUGAACCGCAUGGUUCAAAAGUGAAAGACGGUCUUGCUGUCACUUAUAGAUGGAUCCGCGCUGCAUUAGCUAGUUGGUAAGGUAACGGCUUACCAAGGCAACGAUGCAUAGCCGACCUGAGAGGGUGAUCGGCCACACUGGAACUGAGACACGGUCCAGACUCCUACGGGAGGCAGCAGUAGGGAAUCUUCCGCAAUGGGCGAAAGCCUGACGGAGCAACGCCGCGUGAGUGAUGAAGGUCUUCGGAUCGUAAAACUCUGUUAUUAGGGAAGAACAUAUGUGUAAGUAACUGUGCACAUCUUGACGGUACCUAAUCAGAAAGCCACGGCUAACUACGUGCCAGCAGCCGCGGUAAUACGUAGGUGGCAAGCGUUAUCCGGAAUUAUUGGGCGUAAAGCGCGCGUAGGCGGUUUUUUAAGUCUGAUGUGAAAGCCCACGGCUCAACCGUGGAGGGUCAUUGGAAACUGGAAAACUUGAGUGCAGAAGAGGAAAGUGGAAUUCCAUGUGUAGCGGUGAAAUGCGCAGAGAUAUGGAGGAACACCAGUGGCGAAGGCGACUUUCUGGUCUGUAACUGACGCUGAUGUGCGAAAGCGUGGGGAUCAAACAGGAUUAGAUACCCUGGUAGUCCACGCCGUAAACGAUGAGUGCUAAGUGUUAGGGGGUUUCCGCCCCUUAGUGCUGCAGCUAACGCAUUAAGCACUCCGCCUGGGGAGUACGACCGCAAGGUUGAAACUCAAAGGAAUUGACGGGGACCCGCACAAGCGGUGGAGCAUGUGGUUUAAUUCGAAGCAACGCGAAGAACCUUACCAAAUCUUGACAUCCUUUGACAACUCUAGAGAUAGAGC
rnacentral:rRNA from 1 species